UACGUAGGUGGCAAGCGUUGUCCGGAUUUACUGGGCGUAAAGGAUGCGUAGGCGGACAUUUAAGUCAGAUGUGAAAUACCCGAGCUUAACUUGGGUGCUGCAUUUGAAACUGGGUGUCUAGAGUGCAGGAGAGGUAAGUGGAAUUCCUAGUGUAGCGGUGAAAUGCGUAGAGAUUAGGAAGAACACCAGUGGCGAAGGCGACUUACUGGACUGUAACUGACGCUGAGGCAUGAAAGCGUGGGGAGCAAACGGG
rnacentral:rRNA from 1 species